rnacentral:lncRNA from 1 species
CAUAUCCGUAAAGGCGUGAACGAUCUCAGCACCUUGGACAUAAUAUCAGAAAAAAUUACCUUUACGACUAUAUCUUUUUUUUCGGAUAAUCCAGCUGAGGUCUGGGGAUCAAGUGAGGGGACAAGGAACUCAAGAGGGACAUCCCACUUUGGAAUUUAAACAAUUACCUAUAUGACUAUAUCUGUUUCUUGAUAGCCUGGCCGAGGUCUGGGCAUCAAGGAGCAAGGAGCUCAGGAGAGACAUCAUUCCACUUGCGACUACACUUUAGCAGAUCGAAAUGAUUCCUUGGUCCGGCCAUAAUAGAC